GAAAGGGAGAGGGGGAAGAAAGAAAAUAACCUGUGAACUACAUUGGCUUCAUGUGUAGGCUACAUACUUAAGGUAUGUAGCAUACAUUUCAAAGUCUCACAUGGCCAUAGGACACCAGAGAAAACAGUUCUCUGCUCACUGAGGAAGACACUGAUAGAAGCUGCAGAACUCCUGCACUCUGAGGCAUGGUUUAUUUACACAGGCCACUCCAGCCUGCUAUACCGCAGAAAACAGUUCUAAUAGGAAGUCCCUUUCAAAUGUUACCUUUAUAAGGACUGCUUAUGCAGAUUCAUAGAUUAUUUUAACAUCAUUUAACUGUAUAAAAUGUAAGCCAAAGCAGUCCACUGACUCUGCUCUUAAAGAGUGUAAAAUACAAGACUAGGGGUAAAUUGAACAUGGACUUUCAUCAAGGGGUAUGGUACAGGGAGGGGAAGCCAGUAAAAUUUGAAAGCCUAUACAUAUACACACAUAUCAUCAUCAUCAUUAAUGUCACUGAGAUGAAUUAUU